CCUACGGGAGGCAGCAGUGAGGAAUAUUGGUCAAUGGGCGAGAGCCUGAACCAGCCAAGUCGCGUGAAGGAUGAAGGAUCUAUGGUUUGUAAACUUCUUUUAUAUGGGAAUAAAGUGAGGAACGUGUUCCUUUUUGUAUGUACCAUAUGAAUAAGCAUCGGCUAACUCCGUGCCAGCAGCCGCGGUAAUACGGAGGAUGCGAGCGUUAUCCGGAUUUAUUGGGUUUAAAGGGUGCGUAGGUGGUUAAUUAAGUCAGCGGUGAAAGUUUGUGGCUCAACCAUAAAAUUGCCGUUGAAACUGGUUGACUUGAGUAUAUUUGAGGUAGGCGGAAUGCGUGGUGUAGCGGUGAAAUGCAUAGAUAUCACGCAGAACUCCGAUUGCGAAGGCAGCUUACUAAACUAUAACUGACACUGAAGCACGAAAGCGUGGGGAUCAAACAGGAUUAGAUACCCCAGUAGUC
rnacentral:rRNA from 1 species